rnacentral:rRNA from 1 species
AGAGUUUGAUCCUGGCUCAGAUUGAACGCUGGCGGCAGGCCUAACACAUGCAAGUCGAACGGUAACAGGAAGCAGCUUGCUGCUUUGCUGACGAGUGGCGGACGGGUGAGUAAUGUCUGGGAAACUGCCCGAUGGAGGGGGAUAACUACUGGAAACGGUAGCUAAUACCGCAUAACGUCGCAAGACCAAAGAGGGGGACCUUAGGGCCUCUUGCCAUCGGAUGUGCCCAGAUGGGAUUAGCUAGUAGGUGGGGUAACGGCUCACCUAGGCGACGAUCCCUAGCUGGUCUGAGAGGAUGACCAGCCACACUGGAACUGAGACACGGUCCAGACUCCUACGGGAGGCAGCAGUGGGGAAUAUUGCACAAUGGGCGCAAGCCUGAU